UAAACGACUCUCGGCAACGGAUAUCUCGGCUCUCGCAUCGAUGAAGAACGUAGCGAAAUGCGAUACUUGGUGUGAAUUGCAGAAUCCCGUGAACCAUCGAGUCUUUGAACKCAAGUUGCKCCCGAAGCCUUCUGGCCGAGGGCACKCCUGCCUGGGCGUCACGCA
rnacentral:rRNA from 1 species